rnacentral:rRNA from 1 species
UAUUGGGCGUAAAGAGCUCGUAGGCGGUUUGUUGCGUCGGCUGUGAAAACCUGAGGCUCAACCUCAGGCCUGCAGUCGAUACGAGCAGACUAGAGUGUUGCAGGGGAGACUGGAAUUCCUGGUGUAGCGGUGAAAUGCGCAGAUAUCAGGAGGAACACCGGUGGCGAAGGCGGGUCUCUGGGCAACAACUGACGCUGAGGAGCGAAAGCGUGGGGAGCGAACAGGAUUAGAUACCCUGGUAGUCAAGGGCG